rnacentral:rRNA from 1 species
UGGGGAAUAUUGGACAAUGGGCGAAAGCCUGAUCCAGCCAUGCCGCGUGAGUGACGAAGGCCUUAGGGUUGUAAAACUCUUUCGUCGGGGACGAUAAUGACGGUACCCGAAGAAGAAGCUCCGGCUAACUUCGUGCCAGCAGCCGCGGUAAUACGAAGGGAGCUAGCGUUGUUCGGAAUCACUGGGCGUAAAGCGCACGUAGGCGGAUAGUUAAGUCAGGGGUGAAAUCCUGGGGCUCAACCCCAGAACUGCCUUUGAUACUGGCUGUCUCGAGGUCGGGAGAGGUUGGUGGAAUUCCUAGUGUAGAGGUGAAAUUCGUAGAUAUUAGGAAGAACACCAGUGGCGAAGGCGGCCAACUGGCUCGAUACUGACGCUGAGGCACGAAAGCGUGGGGAGCAAACAGGAUUAGAUACCCGAGUAGUCCCUGAGCGGGCUGGCAAGGCGCAU